rnacentral:rRNA from 2 species
UUUGACGUUAGCGACAGAAGAAGCACCGGCUAACUCCGUGCCAGCAGCCGCGGUAAUACGGAGGGUGCGAGCGUUAAUCGGAAUUACUGGGCGUAAAGCGCAUGCAGGUGGUUUGUUAAGUCAGAUGUGAAAGCCCGGGGCUCAACCUCGGAAUAGCAUUUGAAACUGGCAGACUAGAGUACUGUAGAGGGGGGUAGAAUUUCAGGUGUAGCGGUGAAAUGCGUAGAGAUCUGAAGGAAUACCGGUGGCGAAGGCGGCCCCCUGGACAGAUACUGACACUCAGAUGCGAAAGCGUGGGGAGCAAACAGGAUUAGAUACCCUGGUAGUCCACGCCGUAAACGAUGUCUACUUGGAGGUUGUGGCCUUGAGCCGUGGCUUUCGGAGCUAACGCGUUAAGUAGACCGCCUGGGGAGUACGGUCGCAAGAUUAAAACUCAAAUGAAUUGACGGGGGCCCGCACAAGCGGUGGAGCAUGUGGUUUAAUUCGAUGCAACGCGAAGAACCUUACCUACUCUUGACAUCCAGAGAACUUUCCAGAGAUGGAUUGGUGCCUUCGGGAACUCUGAGACAGGUGCUGCAUGGCUGUCGUCAGCUCGUGUUGUGAAAUGUUGGGUUAAGUCCCGCAACGAGCGCAACCCUUAUCCUUGUUUGCCAGCGAGUAAUGUCGGGAACUCCAGGGAGACUGCCGGUGAUAAACCGGAGGAAGGUGGGGACGACGUCAAGUCAUCAUGGCCCUUACGAGUAGGGCUACACACGUGCUACAAUGGCGCAUACAGAGGGCGGCCAACUUGCGAGAGUGAGCGAAUCCCAAAAAGUGCGUCGUAGUCCGGAUUGGAGUCUGCAACUCGACUCCAUGAAGUCGGAAUCGCUAGUAAUCGUGGAUCAGAAUGCCACGGUGAAUACGUUCCCGGGCCUUGUACACACCGCCCGUCACACCAUGGGAGUGGGCUGCAAAAGAAGUAGGUAGUUUAACCUUCGGGGGGACGCUUACCACUUUGUGGUUCAUGACUGGGGUGAAGUCGUAACAAGGUAGCGCUAGGGGAACCUGGCGCUGGAUCACCUCCUUA